rnacentral:rRNA from 1 species
UAGUCAAUGCUCGCAAGAGUGAACUAGCUAACUGAAAUCAGGAAGUUUCAAAAAACCCCUGAUGUCGUAAGGGAAAAUAAUGAUAAUACCUUACUAUUAGUGUCGUCCAAAUCUGGUGCCAGAAGACUCGGUAAGACCAGAGACGCAAACGUUAAUCAUCAUAAUCAGGCGUAAAGGGUUUGUAGGCAGCUUUCAAUACUUGAAAGCUAGAAUCAAAAAGAGGUUAUAGUGUAUAACGCCUAGAGGAGGGCUGAUAUCCAUAGAUCCUAGGCAGAAUACUAAGGGCGAAGGCCACUCUCCAUUAAUGAUUGACGCUGAGAAACGAAGGUUAGGAUAGGAAAUAGGAUUAGAUACCCCGGUACUCCUUUCUGUAAACGAUGAAUGGUAGUCAUUAGUUCUUAGACUAGAGACGAAGUUAACACAAUAACCAUUCCGCCUUGUGAGUACUACUGCAAAGUAGAAAACAAAAAAAUUAGUCGGUCUCGAAGCAAACGGAGUGAAGCAUGUUAUUUAAU